GCCGACAUGGCUCAACUGGUAGAGCAGCCGACUUGUAAUCGGCAGGUUCCGGGUUCAAGUCCUGGUGUCGGCA
rnacentral:tRNA from 1 species